rnacentral:miRNA from 1 species
AUAGCAGAGGAGUAGGAGGACA